UAUUUUGGGGAGGCCUACAUUAAAGAAUAUUUUUGAAAUUUUUUUCAGUCCAAAUUUCUCCCUACUCUGUCCUUCCGAGACGGCAGUUACAUG